rnacentral:lncRNA from 1 species
CUGAACCUCAGUUAAGGCCCUAACCGGACAAGGAUUAGGGAAAAAGGCUUACUCGAUGGCUCGCGUUUAGCGAUCCUAGAGACGACAGUCAUAGACUCUGAGACAAUAAGGCAGUGGCUUUCCCAGUAAGCUUUAAGGCAGUCUUGGGAAAGGAACAGGAGGGGCCAGGGGGACCUUCUGUUCAAAGCGGUACUCGAUAGGGUGGUUCCGUACGAAAGGGAAAUUGGGAUCUCUGACAUCUUGAAUUUUCACCUUUAGGGGGGUAAUUUCAAUGACAGUAAGAGUCCCCUUUCGGGGGAAAUCCAGGAGAGGCUUAUCGCCCUCGUAUGCGUUUCUGUUGUUGUUUCUGUAUGUGUUAAGUCGGCUCGUAGAGGCGGCUUAGCUGCUAAAGUCUUACAAGCAAUACAAGGCUCAAUAAGGCUCGUAUUUCGGGUCCUAUUGGAAAGUGUAUUGUUGUAGACAGGGUUACUAGUAUAAAUGCUAUCAAGCCCGGAGGCAGCCCCUUUGGGAGCUGAUCCGGAGAUAGAGCAGCUCCUAGUAAGAGAAAGUAGAGCAACAACUGCUAAAGAAGCUCAGUAGCAGCAAGAGCGGGCUUCCCUUACUCUAUUUCCGAAGCGGAAAUAGUCGGGAAGUAGAUAGAGCGGACCGUUGCCCCCUCCGAGCUUUGCUCGUCUCCCCUCGGGGGAGGUUGGGCUCAAAAGUGGUCUUCCCUUAUUCUAUUUCCUCGGAGGAAAUAGUCGGGUCGCAAAACGCAAGUACCGUGCAAACAAGAGUUGGCUUCCGCGCGCGCGCGUAAGAGCUGAACGCUUUCCCCUCCGAGCUGCGCUCUUCCUCCCUCGGGGAGGUUAGCUCAUUAGCUCAGUAGCUCCUUAGCUCGUAGCUCAUUAGCUCAGUAGCUCAGUAGCUCAGGUUUUAAAGUUGGAAGUAGCUACUAGCCUGUCUCAGGGCUCCGAGCGCUGCUGCAGCCCAAACAUACCGCAGCGCUCUCCGGUCCCUUCGCGAAGCAAUUCGCUCUGUUAGGCAUAUGUAGACUUAUGUGGGCUGGCUUGUAUUCUUAUAUGAAACCUUUCCUGUGAGAUCGGUCGUUACUCCAACCCUGGAGUAACUUCCCUUCCAGAGUGUUAACUCACAUAUGCUUUUUCCGGACCCUAUGUAGUUAGGAGUUUUGUAUUUGUUGAAGCUAGUAGUCUCUAGCGGCCGUACCUGUUCAGUUAUCUUAUAAGUUCCGGACUUAGAUACAGGGAAAUAACUCUGCAAAGUUAAACUCGUAUAAUAACCACUGAACCUCAGUUAAGGCCCUAACCGGACAAGGAUUAGGGAAAAAGGCUUACUCGAUGGCUCGCGUUUAGCGAUCCUAGAGACGACAGUCAUAGACUCUGAGACAAUAAGGCAGUGGCUUUCCCAGUAAGCUUUAAGGCAGUCUUGGGAAAGGAACAGGAGGGGCCAGGGGGACCUUCUGUUCAAAGCGGUACUCGAUAGGGUGGUUCCGUACGAAAGGGAAAUUGGGAUCUCUGACAUCUUGAAUUUUCACCUUUAGGGGGGUAAUUUCAAUGACAGUAAGAGUCCCCUUUCGGGGGAAAUUCAAGAGAGGCUUAUCGCCCUCGUAUGCGUUUCUGUUGUUGUUUCUGUAUGUGUUAAGUCGGCUCGUAGAGGCGGCUUAGCAGCUAAAGUCUUACAAGCAAUACAAGGCUCAAUAAGGCUCGUAUUUCGGGUCCUAUUGGAAAGUGUAUUGUUGUAGACAGGGUUACUAGUAUAAAUGCUAUCAAGCCCGGAGGCAGCCCCUUUGGGAGCUGAUCCGGAGAUAGAGCAGCU